rnacentral:tRNA from 1 species
GCCUGGGUGGCUCAGUCAGUUGGGCGUCUGACUUCGGCUCAGGUCGUGAUCUCGCGGUCCGUGGGUUCAAGCCCCACAUUGGGCU